rnacentral:snRNA from 1 species
UAGCUAAUUAGCUCCAAAAACUC